rnacentral:rRNA from 1 species
UACGUAGGGCGCAAGCGUUAUCCGGAAUUAUUGGGCGUAAAGAGCUCGUAGGCGGUUUGUCGCGUCUGCCGUGAAAGUCCGGGGCUUAACUCCGGAUCUGCGGUGGGUACGGGCAGACUAGAGUGAUGUAGGGGAGACUGGAAUUCUCGGUGUAGCAGUGAAAUGCGUAGAUAUCGAGAGGAACACCAGUGGCGAAGGCGAGUCUCUAGACAACUCCUGACACUGAGGCACGAAAGCUAGGGGAGCAAACAGG